GUGGGGAAUAUUGGACAAUGGGCGCAAGCCUGAUCCAGCCAUGCCGCGUGAGUGAUGAAGGCCCUAGGGUUGUAAAGCUCUUUCACCGGAGAAGAUAAUGACGGUAUCCGGAGAAGAAGCCCCGGCUAACUUCGUGCCAGCAGCCGCGGUAAUACGAAGGGGGCUAGCGUUGUUCGGAAUUACUGGGCGUAAAGCGCACGUAGGCGGACAUUUAAGUCAGGGGUGAAAUCCCGGAGCUCAACUCCGGAACUGCCUUUGAUACUGGGUGUCUGGAGUAUGGAAGAGGUGAGUGGAAUUCCGAGUGUAGAGGUGAAAUUCGUAGAUAUUCGGAGGAACACCAGUGGCGAAGGCGGCUCACUGGUCCAUUACUGACGCUGAGGUGCGAAAGCGUGGGGAACAAACAGGAUUAGAAACCCUAGUAGUCC
rnacentral:rRNA from 1 species